rnacentral:rRNA from 1 species
UACGUAGGGACUAAGCGUUGUUCGGAUUUACUGGGCGUAAAGGGCGCGUAGGCGGCGUGUUAAGUCAGCUGUGAAAUCUCCGAGCUUAACUCGGAACGGUCAGCUGAUACUGAUGUGCUAGAGUGCAGAAGGGGCAAUCGGAAUUCUUGGUGUAGCGGUGAAAUGCGUAGAUAUCAAGAGGAACACCUGAGGUGAAGACGGGUUGCUGGGCUGACACUGACGCUGAGGCGCGAAAGCCAGGGGAGCAAACGGG